rnacentral:rRNA from 1 species
CCUACGGGUGGCAGCAGUGAGGAAUAUUGGUCAAUGGGCGCGAGCCUGAACCAGCCAAGUAGCGUGAAGGAUGACUGCCCUACGGGUUGUAAACUGCUUUUAUAAAGGAAUAAAGUGAGGCCCGUGUGCCUUUUUGUAUGUACUUUAUGAAUAAGGAUCGGCUAACUCCGUGCCAGCAGCCGCGGUAAUACGGAGGGUCCGAGCGUUAUCCGGAUUUAUUGGGUUUAAAGGGAGCGUAGAUGGCUUGUUAAGUGUGCUGUGAAAGGUCUGGGCUCAACCCGGGCCUUGCAACGCGAACUGGCGUGCUUGAGUCCGCGGAAAGCAGGCGGAAUUCGUCGUGUAGCGGUGAAAUGCUUAGAUAUGACGAAGAACCCCGAUUGCGAAGGCAGCUUGCUGCAGCGGAACUGACGCUGAUGCUCGAAAGCGCGGGUAUCGAACAGGAUUAGAUACCCCGGUAGUC